AGCACAGAUAAGACAGGGACAGGGUGUUUGUCUGACUGGAAAUCUCCUCGUUCAAGACGUUCGUUGAAGUUUACACACUUUUAUAGCGAGGAGAACAUUUUCAGGAUGGCUUCGUUAAAAACAGUGCAACUAAAUUCAUCCACUUCUGGUCCGGCGCACAUGAUGGACAAACACCGCUGUAUUUGACAAUUAUUUCCAUUUUAUCAACCAGCAAUAAAGUCUCUUUUUGGCACUUCAUGGAGCGAGUUUAGCCACAGCACAACCUACUGGUGUAAAAUUAUUAAAAAAUCAUCAACGGAGGGCUUUUUUAGGUUUUACUCCCCUUAUUUCAUCAAGCGAUCCCAAAAUAAAUUCUUAAAUUUCAGAGCUUUUUGGAGCGAGAACCCUGUAGACUCAACCUUCCCGUUUCCACGGCAACCAAAAAAACAGACUGAUCAUCAGAAGGUUCAGAGGAAACACCGGCUGCUGGAAAUCUUCAGAGACGGACAGAAGAGAGAUUAAAAGCGCUCUUUCUGCCCGAAGGAAGCUUCAGAGAGACUGAAACCAGACUCACGUUCUCAUCAUCUCAGACUGGAUCACAU